UACGUAGGGUGCAAGCGUUAAUCGGAAUUACUGGGCGUAAAGCGUGCGCAGGCGGGUUUGUAAGUCUGUCGUGAAAGCCCCGGGCUCAACCUGGGAAUUGCGAUGGAGACUGCAAGGCUUGAAUCUGGCAGAGGGGGGUAGAAUUCCACGUGUAGCAGUGAAAUGCGUAGAGAUGUGGAGGAACACCGAUGGCGAAGGCAGCCCCCUGGGUCAAGAUUGACGCUCAUGCACGAAAGCGUGGGGAGCAAACAGG
rnacentral:rRNA from 1 species